rnacentral:rRNA from 1 species
GUCCACGCCCUAAACGAUGCCGACUAGUUGUUGGGGAGUUAAAUCCCUUAGUAACGCAGCUAACGCGUGAAGUCGGCCGCCUGGGGAGUACGGUCGCAAGAUUAAAACUCAAAGGAAUUGACGGGGGCCCGCACAAGCGGUGGAUGAUGUGGUUUAAUUCGACGCAACGCGAAAAACCUUAACCUACCCUUUACAUGUGCGGAAUCCUGCAGAGAUGCAGGAGUGCCCGAAAGGGAACCGCAACACAGGUGCUGCAUGGCUGUCGU